AUGCUGUCUGCAAUCAGAGUUGGAAAUUUCUUCGCUUGCUUUUUACAUGCAAAUUUAAACGAGUUUCAAUCACCAGCGGCCAUUGUCUACGGGCGAGCUCCACUCCCAACUCCCAGCUCUCUCUUCCAUUCUGUGUCUGUGUGUGUGUGUGUGCUCGUCACACUGUGCGUAUGAGCUAUGAAAAAGUAAUUAAAUUUAAGGGCGCAACCACUGGGCAGCCAGCUAGUUAGAGGGACUGAGUGCACUGAGCGAGACACCCUGGGAACAAGUAAAAAAGUGUCAUUAUUAACGCAUUGAACGCGAAUGCCAAACAAGCUGACAGCUGUGCCCCAACCAGGCGGGAAUGGUGUGAAUGUGUGUGUGUGUGUGUGUGUACCAAAGGAUUCAGCUGGACAUUCGAGUUGGUAGGAGACAAAGAGAGACGCAGAGUGAGAGAGAGAGAGAUAGAGCGGGAGGUGUCUCUGACUCUCGAUAGGUUUUCUCUGUUUGACGCUAUUGACACUUUGCACAGUUCACAAAUGACAUUUAUUGAAAAUUUCAUCAUUAGGCAACUGAGCGAACUUUGUCAACUUUUGCACCAUGUCAAAACUUAUUUAAAUCGACUCCUCUGACACGUGCGUGUGUGUGUGUGUGUGUGUGUGAGGAUAACUGGAGAUGUGUUGACAACCCUUGCAUUUUGUGUUUCGGAAAUCAGUUUGGCAUCAACAGCAAUUCACUGAACAGCAAAAUAUCCCCAAGGAUAUAGCCAAAUUUUCUGCUCCUCUUUUUUGUUCUCUUUCGAUUUUUGCAUAAUUUUCAAAAUGAAAAGUUCGAAGACAGUUUGAAGAUGCUGAAGCUUACAACAACAACAACAACAACAACAAUGGCAACAAUAUUUAUUCAACCCCAAAUCGAAAAAUAAACAAAAUGUAAAUAUAAUAUGCUCGCUGGCUGGAGAUGGAGAUGGAGAUGGCGAUGGAGAUGGAGAUGGAGAUGGCGAUGGAGGUGGAGAUCGAGAUAAAGAUGAAUGAGCAGCACACACAUUAGAUUCGUGUGAGAUAAGCAAAGUAGCUUUAACCAAAUUUCGAAUAUAUUUAAAUGGCCUUUAUAUAGUAUAAGAGAUGCCUUAGGCUAAGCAGAGCUUAAGGCAUCUGUAAGAAAAUUAAUUGAUUAUAAAUACUUUCCAGAUGUAUUUUUAAUAAUUUAAUUCAGCUGUGAUAAAACUUAAUAAUCAUAUACAUAUUAAAACAGAAAGAAUGUAAUAAUGAAAUAAAAUAUAAAAUAUAGUAGUAAUAAAACUUCUAGCUCAAGAGUGAAA